rnacentral:rRNA from 1 species
UACGAAGGGGGCUAGCGUUGCUCGGAAUCACUGGGCGUAAAGCGCACGUAGGCGGCUUGUUAAGUCAGGGGUGAAAUCCUGGAGCUCAACUCCAGAACUGCCUUUGAUACUGGCGAGCUUGAGUUCGGGAGAGGUGAGUGGAACUGCGAGUGUAGAGGUGAAAUUCGUAGACAUUCGCAAGAACACCAGUGGCGAAGGCGGCUCACUGGCCCGAUACUGACGCUGAGGUGCGAAAGCGUGGGGAGCAAACAGG